UACGAAGGGGGCUAGCGUUGCUCGGAAUUACUGGGCGUAAAGGGCGCGUAGGCGGACAGUUUAGUCAGAGGUGAAAGCCCAGGGCUCAACCUUGGAACUGCCUUUGAUACUGGCUGUCUUGAGUUCGGGAGAGGUGAGUGGAAUGCCGAGUGUAGAGGUGAAAUUCGUAGAUAUUCGGCGGAACACCAGUGGCGAAGGCGACUCACUGGCCCGAUACUGACGCUGAGGCGCGAAAGCUAGGGGAGCAAACGGG
rnacentral:rRNA from 1 species